GAAUCUUAGACAAUGGGGGAAACCCUGAUCUAGCCAUGCCGCGUGAGUGACGAAGGCCUUAGGGUCGUAAAGCUCUUUCGCCAGGGAAGAUAAUGACGGUACCUGGUAAAGAAGUCCCGGCUAACUCCGUGCCAGCAGCCGCGGUAAUACGGAGGGGACUAGCGUUGUUCGGAAUUACUGGGCGUAAAGCGCGCGUAGGCGGGCUGUUAAGUCAGAGGUGAAAUCCCAGGGCUCAACCCUGGAACUGCCUUUGAUACUGGCAGCCUUGAGUUCGAGAGAGGUGAGUGGAAUUCCGAGUGUAGAGGUGAAAUUCGUAGAUAUUCGGAGGAACACCAGUGGCGAAGGCGGCUCACUGGCUCGAUACUGACGCUGAGGUGCGAAAGCGUGGGGAGCAACCAGG
rnacentral:rRNA from 1 species